rnacentral:sRNA from 1 species
GCUUCUCGGUGCGCCAAGUAACGGUCCGCGGGCAGCGGGGCCCGGCCCAUCGCGCCCAGACCACGGGGUGGGAGGGAGUCGGCCGGCCCCGCGCGGGGUCCGGUGGGGUCGAUGAUGGCUCGGGGACGGAUGACUCCUCUCCAGCAGGCUCUGGCCCCCAGGCCGGGGACUGAAGGAGUCGCAGGGCGCAGCGAGACUUUUCCCGGCAGUUUCUACAUGGUCUGGAGGAGCCCGUUAUCCAGGCUGAGUCAGGAAGGAGGAAGGAGAAAGGAGAUGGGGGUUCGAGGGGCACACGCAGAUCAGAGUGGUGAACUAUGACAAUGUAGUGGACACAGGUUCUGAAACAGAUGAGGAAGACAAGCUUCAUAUUGCUGAGGAUGACGGUAUUGCCAACCCUCUGGACCAGGAGACGAGUCCAGCUAGUGUGCCCAACCAUGAGUCCUCCCCACACGUGAGCCAAGCUCUGUUGCCAAGAGAGGAAGAGGAAGAUGAAAUAAGGGAGGGUGGAGUGGAACACCCCUGGCACAACAACGAGAUUCUACAA